rnacentral:lncRNA from 1 species
AUGGGAGCCAGGAAAAGGGAAGGGCCUCGAGUGAGCGGACAAAAACAGCUGCUCUUGUGUGCUUGGGAAACCUCAUCCAGAGAAAGCAAGAGUGGAGAGACGGACCAGCAGGGUCCAGAUCUCUAUAUGGGUUGUGCCCUGAGUGCGGAUAGCUGUGGGGACGAGCCAGAUCCGGUACCCGUGAGAGAGUCUUUAAGGAGGGAGAGAGCAAAGUCCAGGGGAAACAUGAGGCUGACCAAGGCGGGGAAGGGCGAGCCCCACGUCUUUAAAGAAAAGACCUUCAAAAAGAAGCGGCAGUGUGGGGUGUGCAGGCAGAGUGUGGAGAAUUUGGGCUCUUUUUGUCGAGUCUGCAAAACAGCCACUCAUAAGAAAUGCGAAGUCAAGAUCAACACAGCCUGCAUCCCGGCGCAGCCCUCCGAACUGGUAAGACUUUGUUUAUCUGAUUCUUUCCUUCCUUUUUUCUGUUGUGUUUUCACUUUUUCACUUGCUUUUUCAUUCACACUGUCAUUCACUCACUAG